rnacentral:rRNA from 1 species
AACGAACGCUGGCGGCAGGCCUAACACAUGCAAGUCGAACGCCGUAGCAAUACGGAGUGGCAGACGGGUGAGUAACACGUGGGAACGUACCCUUCGGUUCGGGAGUAACUCAGGGAAACUUGAGCUAAUACCGGAUACGUCCGAGAGGAGAAAGAUUUAUUGCCGAGGGAUCGGCCCGCGUCUGAUUAGCUUGUUGGUGAGGUAACGGCUCACCAAGGCGACGAUCAGUAGCUGGUCNGAGAGGAUGAUCAGCCACAUUGGGACUGAGACACGGCCCAAACUACCUACGGGAGGCAGCAGUGGGGAAGUAUUGGUACGAAUGGGCGCAAGCCUGAUCCAGCCAUGCCGCGUGAGUGAUGAAGGCCCUA